UACGUAGGGACCAAGCGUUGUUCGGAUUUACUGGGCGUAAAGGGCGCGUAGGCGGCGCGGUAAGUCACUUGUGAAAUCUCUGAGCUUAACUCAGAACGGCCAAGUGAUACUGCAGUGCUAGAGUGUGGAAGGGGCAAUCGGAAUUCUCGGUGUAGCGGUGAAAUGCGUAGAUAUCGAGAGGAACACCUGCGGCGAAGGCGGGUAGCUGGGCCGACACUGACGCUGAGGCGCGAAAGCCAGGGGAGCGAACGGG
rnacentral:rRNA from 1 species